GCCGAAGUGGUGGAAUGGCAGACACGCAUGGUUCAGGACCAUGUGCUCGCAAGGGCAUGAGGGUUCAACUCCCUCCUUCGGCACCA
rnacentral:tRNA from 1 species